rnacentral:rRNA from 1 species
AGCGAACGCUGGCGGCGUGCCUAACACAUGCAAGUCGAACGUGAAAGGGAGCAAUCCCAAGUAAAGUGGCGUACGGGUGAGUAACACGUAGGUAAUCUACCCCAGAAUCUGGAAUAACCGGCCGAAAGGCUGGCUAAUACUGGAUAGAGCGACGGAAUCCGUAAUUGGGUUUUUCGGGAAAGGGAGCCUGUAAAAAGGCCUUCGUUCUGGGAUGACCCUGCGUCCCAUCAGCUAGUUGGUGAGGUAAAAGCUUACCAAGGCAAUGACGCGUAGCUGGUCUGAGAGGACGAUCAGCCACACUGGAACUGAGACACGGUCCAGACUCCUACGGGAGGCAGCAGUGGGGAAUCUUGCGCAAUGGACGAAAGUCUGACGCAGCAACGCCGCGUGAGUGAAGAAGGUCUUCGGGUUGUAAAGCUCUGUCGGGAGGGAAGAAAAUGCUUGGAGUUCACAGCUCCAGGAACUGACGGUACCAAUCAAGGAAGCACCGGCUAACUACGUG